AUAGCGUAUAUUAAAGUUGUUGCAGUUAAAAAGCUCGUAGUUGAACUUCAGACCUGGCUGGGCGGUCCGCCUAACGGCGUGUACUGUCUGGCUGGGCCUUACCUCUUGGUGAGCCGGCGUGCCCUUUAUUGGUGUGCGUCGGGGAACCAGGACUUUUACCUUGAGAAAAUUAGAGUGUUCAAAGCAGGCCUAUGCCCGAAUACAUUAGCAUGGAAUAAUAAAAUAGGACGUGUGGUUCUAUUUUGUUGGUUUCUAGAGUCGCCGUAAUGAUUAAUAGGGAUAGUUGGGGGCAUUGGUAUUGAGUCGCUAGAGGUGAAAUUCUUGGAUUGACUCAAGACCAACUAUUG
rnacentral:rRNA from 1 species